GAAAUGCGAUAACUAGUAUGAAUUGCAGAAUUCCGUGAAUCAUCGAGUCUUUGAACGCACAUUGCGCCCCCUGGUAUUCCGGGGGGCAUGCCUGUCCGAGCGUCAUUGCUGCCCAUCAAGCACGGCUUGUGUGUUGGGUCGUCGUCCCCUCUCCGGGGGGGACGGGCCCCAAAGGCAGCGGCGGCACCGCGUCCGAUCCUCGAGCGUAUGGGGCUUUGUCACCCGCUCUGUAGGCCCGGCCGGCGCUUGCCGAACGCAAAUCAAUCUUUUUCCAGGUUGACCUCGGAUCAGGUAGGGAUACCCGCUGAACUUAAGC
rnacentral:misc_RNA from 1 species